CGAAUGUCCGUCGAAUUAAUUUUUUUUUUUUUGAAAAUUGUUUGAUGGAUAAAGAAUGAAUGUGAUAUACGUUCGUUUAUCUGUUGAGUAUAGUGUUUUGGUUCGUUAAAAGGUAAACGUUAACGGAUCGUGUCUACACUCUACAUGCAUGUGCAUUGGUGUAUAUUAUUGUUAUACGCUUUGAUUAGUCGCUGAAACAUACUAAGACGUUUUGAAAACUCGAAACCUCUACAUAUUUGCUUUUUUGUUUUUUGGUUUAUCAACUUAUUUUAAUUUUUCUAAAGCCUAACCAUCAGCAACUGAGCAAAGGUUGAAAUGAUUCCGACAAUAUUUUUUAGUUAUGGCUUUUACCAAAAAGAGCAUUUACCGCUUUGAACCGAAAAUAAAACCCCAAUCUUGUUUAUUUAUUUUUUUCUUACGGACCGACGCUAAAUCCACAAAUAAAGGAAAUGAAAAAAAGAACAUGUGUUUGAAAAUGGUCAAAAGGGGCAGUCAAAGGUCAGAAAGGGACAAAUCCGUUGUUUAGUUGUUGUCAUGAAGUGUAGGACAGUUAAAACCGUUGCUAAAAAGUCAAAUAUCUAUCGCAUUUUCACUUAUCACUAACUAUAGUACUAAGUACUAACCAAUUAGAUUAUUAGACUACCCCCACAUCAAUCAAUCGCAGAUGUUAGUUAGUUGCUAUUUAGGUUUAUUACCCCAAUCUAAUAAACCAUGCAUUUACUGAAACUUUUUUUGGUCAACUAUUGAAAGUUGAAACUUACCCCACAUGUUCU
rnacentral:lncRNA from 1 species